rnacentral:rRNA from 2 species
ACUCACGCGGGAAUCUUACCGGGUCCGGACACACUGAGGAUUGACAGAUAUACGCUCAUUGCAGUUCGCUGCAUGAGCUGAAAGAUGCUAGUUCUUUCAUGAUUAUGUGAUAGGUGGUGCAUGGCCGUUCCUAGUUCGUGGAGUGAUCUGUCUGCUUAAUUGCGUAUCAAUAAUAGUGACCUAGUAUACGUGUGGAUUUCGCGUGGUAGUGACCCCCUGUUUAACGACAGGCGUGUGUCGCACACGCGUACCUACGCACUGGUCUCAGAUAGCAACGAACGUGACCGUAUUCUAUUGUUGCAGUGAAAUGUGCCUUCGGGUACGACCCACUGCUUAGUGUGAGUUUGCCUCGUGUAAGCAUCACACAUUAAACUAUAGAGACCGCUGUUUCUUCUUUAAACCAGAGGAAGGAUACGGCAAUAACAGGUCUGUGAUGCCCUCAGAUGUUCCGGGCUGCACACGUGCUACAAUGAUCAUUGCACUGUGCAUCUAACCCAAUGUGCGCGGACGCCGCAUGCAUGUGCCUUCGGGUACACGCAUUGCUGAGCGACCGCGCCGAACCUACUUCGAAAGUAAAAUUUCUCAGUGGGUAAUCCAUUAGAAGUAAUGACUCGCAUAGACCAUGGCACAACUAAAUGUACGCGCAGGUUCUACCCGGCUCGCCUUUGUGUGAGUGCAGUGCGUAGCUUGUUGUUUCGUACGUGCCACUCCGUAUUAAUUCGUACGUGGGGAUAGAUCAUUGUUUAAUUGUUGGUCUCGGUCUUAACUAGGAAUGCCUUGUACGGGUCUCUGGUUCAACAUACCACCCGGAAUACGUCCCUGCCCUUUGUACACACCGCCCGUCGCUCUUACCGAUGGAUUAUGCUAUGAAUCUAUAGGACUGCCAAAGCUUUUUUUGAGAGCUUAGUGGAAAUAUAUAUGAU